UUUUUUAUUUUUUUAAUUUCCUCAAUACCUUUUUUUUUCUGCUGUGCAGCCUGGUGACCCAGUUACACAUACAUGUAUACAUUCUAUUUUCUCCCAUUAUCAUGCUCCAUUAUAAGUGACUAGACAUAGUUCCCAGUGCCACACAGCAGGAUCUCAUUGCUAAUCCAUUCCAGAGGCAAUAGUCUGCAUCUAUUAUCCCAAGCUCCUGGAUUAGGAAGAUGUAGUAUAUAUACACAAUGGAAUACUACUCAGCCAUAAAAAAGAACAAAAUAAUGCCAUUUGCAGCAACAUGGAUGGAACUAGAGACUCUCAUACUGAUGUUCCACAAGGCUCUGUCAAAGUCUUGGUGUUUGUACCCCUAGGUGUAUGUGCCUUGUAGGUAUGCAUAUGUACCAUGUGUGUGUGGCACAUGUGUGUUUGUAUACUAUGUGGGUGUUGUAUGUCCAUAGGUACCAUGCAUACAUUGUACACGUGUGUCUGUACCAUGUACAUGUGUAUUAUACUUGCACAUGUAAAUUUAGCCAAGGAAGGGAAGGAACUGGCAGUGGUAAAUGUAAGACUUUGAAACUCAGGAAGGCAAAAUAAAUGGGAAGAUAAAGUGUGUUCAUGGAUCAGGAGAAUUAAUAUUGUGCAUAUGUGUGCACAUUUGUAUGUAUGCACAGAUACCAUAACCACUCUGCACAUAUGUGGCCUGUAUAUUAUAUAUGUGUUUAUGCAUGUACAUUGUAUGUAUAACAUAUACUACAUGCACACAUGUGUAUGUGUACAUUGUGUGCAUUUACACUGUAUAUAUGCUAUAAAAAUACACUAUAUGUGUAUAUGUGUGCAUUACAUAUAUUUCAUACAUGCACUAUAUGUAUAUAUAUACAUACAUUCUAUGCAUGUAUGAUGUGCAUAUACUCUGUAUGUACAUAGUGUAUACAUUAUGGUUAAUGUUAGUGCAUAUGUUCAUUGUGUGUAUGCAUGUAUACAUGCCAUAGAUGCUGUGUAUCCAUGCUGCAUUAUAUAUGUAUGAACACUGUGUGUAAACUACGUGUGUAUCCACUGUAAGGAUAUAUAUGGCUGUUUCUCUGUAUGUGUGGACACACUAUGCAUGUGCUGUAUAUGUGCAUACACUCUGUAUAUGUCUGCAUAAUAUGUAUAUAUGAACACUAAACUAUAUGUGUAUCCACCGUAAGGAUAUAUAUGGCUAUAUUAUGUGUGCGCAUGUAACUAUCUUUGUAUGUGUGGACACUCUGUGCAUGUGCUGUAUAUGUGCGUACACUCUCUAUAUGUCUGCACAGUAUGUAGUGUCAGGAAUACAGCUCCAGCAGGGCUCCAGCGCAUGACCAUUUGGCUGGCUUGGGGAGAGUAAUGUGUGAAACACUCGUUCCGGAUCGCAUAGUAUACGAAAUUUGGCAAGUUAAUGGGCCUUUGCAAUGAUGUAGGGACCAAACACUUCACUGAUGGAUGUGUGUGUGUUCACUUAAUCAUCAUAACAGCCCUGUGAAGUAGGUUUUAUCUCCAGAUGAGGACUGAGAUUUACUGGUGACUUGUGUAAGGAAAGGAAACUUAAAAGUAAUGGUAGCAUCAUGUCAACUAUCUUUUCUUCAUUUACUUUCUUAUCACAACCUUUGUUAGCAUUUAACUAACAACCUGGAAGUUGCCACUCAUCAGGAAAUAGGAUCAUCUUCCAACUGUUUAUAUUUAUUCAAAGAGUAGUGACUGCUGUUUUCCUGUCACUGUGUAGCAAAAUGCCAUUAAUGUUGCCAGUGUGAGCAGUUCAAAAUAAACACAGUAUCACUCUUAAAAUUGAAAAUGAACAUAAGUUCAUUUUUUAGGUAUUGUUUGGAAGGAUAAGAAAAAAGACAUUUAAGAUGAAAGGAGGGUUUCUUUGCCAUUUCUUUGGGAAUUUCCUUUUGGUGGAUUAUUGCUAGAAUAUUCUUUUUUUUUUUUUCUUCCCCUCAGGGUUCUGCUUUUGGUGAAACGAAAGUAGUUAAAGUCUUUGGGUUUUGUCUCAGCCAAGUUCAGCUUACUAAUUACUACAGUAAAUCACAUAAAAUUACAUACUAGUUAAUAUAAGUACCUGGAAGGCAGGAGUUGGUUUUAUACUUUUUGUAGCUACAGCACUAAUGGCUGCAAACUGUUCCUCUGGCCAUUCCUAGACAAACCUUCACAGGGUUAUGUGCCAAGCAUGGUAUUAGUUCCAGAGGAUACAAAAAUGAAUUCAAGCUUUAAUUUGUGAAGCUCUCACCACACUUGGAGAGCACGUUGACAACUGGUGUGACAAAGUGUAAAAAACAGGUGUUCAGACUGUUUUGGGCAUGUAGAAAAUGGAAUUGACUUGAUGUGAUAAAAUUUUCGAAUUUACUUUUGUGUUUAUUCUACUGAUAAUCCUGAUGCUUUCUUUUUAACCUUAAAGAUUGUUGUUAAUCACUGAUGAAUUGGUAAGCAACUCUGUGUGUGUUCUAAAUCUAGUGAUGCGUUCAUUAACUGGAGACCAUUCACCUCGAUGGGGACAGUAAUAUGUCAAAAGACGGCCCAGUUCCACGCCAUCGAAGGGUCGUUAAAUACCACCGGGUGCAUCCUUGCUGGGAUUUGCUCAGGUGGGAAAUGGCAGCAUUUCGUCUUUUGCUGAUAGGUGCACUCAGGGUGCGGGAGUGAGCAGUUCAAAUUUAGAUGUU
rnacentral:lncRNA from 1 species